UACGGAGGGUGCAAGCGUUGUCCGGAUUUAUUGGGCGUAAAGAGCGUGUAGGCGGCCUUACAGGUCAGCUGUGAAAACUCGAGGCUCAACCUCGAGACGUCGGUUGAAACCGUAAGGCUAGAGUCCGGAAGAGGAGAGUGGAAUUCCCGGUGUAGCGGUGAAAUGCGCAGAUAUCGGGAAGAACACCCGUGGCGAAGGCGGCUCUCUGGGACGGUACUGACGCUGAGACGCGAAAGCGUGGGGAGCGAACAGG
rnacentral:rRNA from 1 species